rnacentral:rRNA from 1 species
UACGAAGGGUGCAAGCGUUACUCGGAAUUACUGGGCGUAAAGCGUGCGUAGGUGGUUCGUUAAGUCUGUCGUGAAAGCCCCGGGCUCAACCUGGGAAUGGCGAUGGAUACUGGCGGGCUAGAGUGCGGUAGAGGAGAGUGGAAUUCCCGGUGUAGCAGUGAAAUGCGUAGAGAUCGGGAGGAACAUCAGUUGCGAAGGCGGCUCUCUGGACCAGCACUGACACUGAGGCACGAAAGCGUGGGAGCAAACAGG